rnacentral:lncRNA from 10 species
GUAAGGGACAUGUGGCUGUCCAGUGUGAAUGUUCUGUGCUUGUAUAUUUCAGCCUAAAUUCCCAGUUCUUUGGCAACCUGAAUACUGAACGUUUUCAGAGUAGUUUUUCUCCCAAGGCGUUUGUUCUGGAUCACUAGUGUCUGGUAUAUAUCAUUUUUGAUUCAACAUAUUUAAAACUCAUUUCCCCCCCAGACAAGACAAAUAGAAUUUGUAGCUUUCCAUAUGGGCUUUUCAAAAAGAUUGGUACUGGGAGCCAUUGGCUUCCCGGAGUGGUGUCAUUUGAUUAGCCCUGGUGUUCUUCCACUUACGGGGAGUGGGUAAUUGCAGUUGUUCCAAGUGGGAGAUGGUGUGAUUGGGUUUUUCUCCUAUGGGGAAAAACAAAUCCUAUCAGAUAGAUGAGUUUCUGGCAUUUCCUAUUCUUCUUUGUGACAGGAUCUUCCAGAAUAGAAGUCUCCCAGCAGUGCACAUCCAGGAAGCAUCCAGGCCAGGUUGGGCAGGGUUUAAUAAGCGCUGGGCCUUUCACCUGGAUGCUGGGAAGGUGCUUGGAUCUAUGAAAACCCCAGGGUGGGGUCAGGGGCCAAUGCAGAGGUUUCCCAGAGAGCUCUGGGGCUGGGUCACUUCCCCACUGGCCAGUCUGUCAUGCUGAAUGCCCAGGACUUCCACAAUGAGUCCCAGAGGUGAGAUGACAGGGUCAGGGUCAGGGCCCACUUCUGCAGGAGUUGCCACUUACCUUGUUUGUUAGGACACAGGCAGAGUGUUGGAACAGAGAGGAUUGCCUGGAGGUUCCUAGGACCACAGCAAGAGGUGUUGUGGGGGGCUUCCCGGCUUCCCGGAGGCCCUUCUUCCCAUGACAGGAGGGACAGUGGAGAUAGCACCUACUCUGGUGACCUUGCUCUCUGCUUUUGUCUUGUGACCUGCUUGUGGGUGAGCCCUACCCCUUGGUUUCCACGUGACCCAUAAAGUCUACUCAUUUUCUGUCCAGGGUUCAGGCACAGAGAGAAAAGGCAAGGAUGUGGAGGGAGAGGAGAGUCCCUGGAAGGAAUGUCCCCAGCAUAUCAGCCUGGAGUUUCCAUUCAGGAAAUUUCCCCAGCUCCCCAGACCCUCCCAGACUUGCCUCCUCCCUCCUGACAAAGCCCCAGCCCUACCCAUAGCCCCAGCCACCACCCCCUUUGAGGAGAGAAGGUGCUGGGUUGGGUGAGGAGCUCUGCGGGAGGACUGAACCAAGCUGUGGGCUCCUGGGCACCUGCCCAUGAGCCAGGCCUGCAUCUCCCAGACCUGCUUGUGGGUGAGCCUGCA